AACGAACGCUGGCGGCAUGCCUAACACAUGCAAGUCGAACGAGACCUUCGGGUCUAGUGGCGCACGGGUGCGUAACGCGUGGGAACCUGCCCUUAGGUUCGGAAUAACUCCCCGAAAGGGGUGCUAAUACCGGAUAAUGUCUUCGGACCAAAGAUUUAUCGCCUUUGGAUGGGCCCGCGUUGGAUUAGCUAGUUGGUAGGGUAAAAGCCUACCAAGGCGACGAUCCAUAGCUGGUCUGAGAGGAUGAGCAGCCACACUGGGACUGAGAAACGGCCCAGACUCCUACGGGAGGCAGCAGUGGGGAAUAUUGGACAAUGGGCGGAAGCAUGAUCCAGCAAUGCCGGGUGAGUGAUGAAGUCCUUAGGGUUGUAAAGCUCUUUUACCCGGGAUGAUAAUGACAGUACCGGGAGAAUAAGCGCCGGCUAACUCCGUG
rnacentral:rRNA from 1 species